GCUGACGUAGCUCAACCUGGUAGAGCAGCUGAUUUGUAAUCAGCAGGUUAAGGGUUCGAGUCCCUUCGUCAGCU
rnacentral:tRNA from 1 species